GAUGAACGCUGGCGGCGUGCCUAAUACAUGCAAGUCGAGCGAACGGACGAGAAGCUUGCUUCUCUGAUGUUAGCGGCGGACGGGUGAGUAACACGUGGAUAACCUACCUAUAAGACUGGGAUAACUUCGGGAAACCGGAGCUAAUACCGGAUAAUAUUUUGAACCGCAUGGUUCAAAAGUGAAAGACGGUCUUGCUGUCACUUAUAGAUGGAUCCGCGCUGCAUUAGCUAGUUGGUAAGGUAACGGCUUACCAAGGCAACGAUGGAUAGCCGACCUGAGAGGGUGGUUGGCCCACCCAGAACCUGAGACACGACCCGGAUCCUGAGGGAAGGCACAGGUGGGAAAUCUACGGAAUUGGGGGAAAGCUUGCAGAAGAAACGCGGGGUGAGUGCUGAAGUUCUUCGGAUGGUAAAACUCUUUUAUAGGGAAGAACAUAUGUGUAAGUAACUGUGCACAUCUUGACGGUACCUAAUCAGAAAGCCACGGCUAACUACGUG
rnacentral:rRNA from 1 species